rnacentral:miRNA from 10 species
CAACAAUCUAUGGUCUCCUGCA